UACGUAGGGUGCAAGCGUUGUCCGGAAUUAUUGGGCGUAAAGAGCUCGUAGGCGGUUUGUUGCGUCGGCUGUGAAAUCCCGAGGCUCAACCUCGGGUCUGCAGUCGAUACGAGCAAACUAGAGUGUUGCAGGGGAGACUGGAAUUCCUGGUGUAGCGGUGAAAUGCGCAGAUAUCUGGAGGAACACCGGUGGCGAAGGCGGCAUCCUGGACCGACACUGACGCUGAGGAGCGAAAGCCAGGGGAGCCAAACGGG
rnacentral:rRNA from 1 species